rnacentral:misc_RNA from 1 species
CUUCAAAAACAGCAUCUGUAUCAUUGGCCUCCCUUCCUUUAUCACCCUGAACAAGGUUUUCCCAUAAUCUUUGCAGAGCGAAUUGCCACAACAAAUCAACGUGAGGAUCUGUUGGGGGCAACGCAUGAGAUCCAACCUUGUAAUACACUGAUACAUUGGGCACAAAUAACGCCUUCUUGAAGUAGACACCAUGACUAGCACAUGU